GUCCCUGUAGCACAAUGGAUAGCGCAUUGGACUUCUAAUCCAAAGGUCGUGGGUUCGAGUCCUGCCUGGGAUG